rnacentral:tRNA from 1 species
AAAUUUUUAGUAUAUUAGUAUAGUUGAUUUCCAAUCAAAAGGUUCUCAAGAAAAAUAAA